rnacentral:rRNA from 1 species
UACGGAGGAUGCGAGCGUUAUCCGGAUUUAUUGGGUUUAAAGGGUGCGUAGGCGGCGAGUUAAGUCAGCGGUAAAAGCCCGGGGCUCAACCCCGGCCCGCCGUUGAAACUGGCUGGCUUGAGUUGGGGAAAGGCAGGCGGAAUGCGCGGUGUAGCGGUGAAAUGCUUAGAUAUCACGAAGAACUCCGAUUGCGAAGGCAGCUCACUGGACUGCAACUGACACUGAGGCUCGAAAGUGUGGGUAUCAAACAGG